UACGUAGGAGGCAAGCGUUGUCCGGAUUUACUGGGCGUAAAGGGCGCGUAGGCGGCGUGACAAGUCACUUGUGAAAUCUCCGGGCUUAACUCGGAACGGUCAAGUGAUACUGUCGUGCUAGAGUACAGAAGGGGCAACUGGAAUUCUCGGUGUAGCGGUGAAAUGCGUAGAUAUCGAGAGGAACACCUGCGGCGAAGGCGGGUUGCUGGGCUGAUACUGACGCUGAGGCGCGAAAGCUAGGGGAGCGAACGGG
rnacentral:rRNA from 1 species